GAUGAACGCUAGCGGCAGGCUUAAUACAUGCAAGUCGAGGGGCAGCAUGAUUGCAGCAAUACAAUUGAUGGCGACCGGCAAACGGGUGCGGAACACGUACACAACCUCCCAAUAAGUGGGGAAUAGCCCAGAGAAAUUUGGAUUAAUACCCCGUAACAUAACGAUGUGGCAUCACAUUGUUAUUAUAGAUUUUUCGCUUAUUGAUGGGUGUGCGGCUGAUUAGAUAGUUGGCGGGGUAACGGCCCACCAAGUCUACGAUCAGUAGCUGAUGUGAGAGCAUGAUCAGCCACACGGGCACUGAGACACGGGCCCGACUCCUACGGGAGGCAGCAGUAAGGAAUAUUGGACAAUGGACGCAAGUCUGAUCCAGCCAUGCCGCGUGAAGGAUUAAGGUCCUCUGGAUUGUAAACUUCUUUUAUAAGGGACGAAAAAAGGCUUUUCUAAGUCGUCUGACGGUACCUUAUGAAUAAGCACCGGCUAACUCCGUGCCAGCAGCCGCAGUAACAC
rnacentral:rRNA from 1 species